UCCUCGUUGGGCUAACGGUUAUGCUCUUGCUCUUUCACUUCCGAUCUGAUCAGCAAAGACCCGGGUUCGACUCCCGGACGGGGAA